UGCAGGUACAGGCGUCCUCAGUUGAAUCAAGUUUCAGUGUUGUAACUCUCCUAAGGGACAAAAACCCCCGAAACAAAUGUCAAAUAACUCAGUUGCAGUUACGGCGUCAAAUAAAAUGUCGUUAUUCUUUGGGAUCCCUAAUUAUCUGUUAUAAUGAAUUAGGAUUCAGGGCAAUGCCCAAUUUCAUCUAAUGGAUCCUUAAAUCAUAUACUCUUAGAUUAAUUUCUUAGCAAUGCCCAAUUUCUUCUUUUAUGUAGUUAGGAUCGGUUCAUCCUAUUUUAUUUCCAUUUUUCACAAACUCUUCGACUCUCCAUUGUAGCGGCUUCUGAUCAAGGUAUGGUUCUUUCUACAUAAAAUCAUUUGAAUAUUUUUUCUUCAAUCAGAGUAUACUGUUUUACAUGUUACUCUGAUUCAAUUUUAGGAUUCAGAUAAUUAAGUACUCUGUGUGAGUAAUUUAUUGUUUGUAUGAUUUUAUUUUUAUUUAUUUUUUAAACAUUUCUGGAUUGUAUAGGUAGAAACACAAAUGAUGGCAUACAUGCUUUGAUUACCACUGAUAUAUAAUUUAAUCUGAUUAGAUUUUAUCCUGUAAUGAAAGCUAUCAUUUUCUCUUGUUCUGUUUGUAGGUAUGCUGAGUUUUAUCACAAUAAUUAGAGAUGAGUUCUUUUAUCUUGCUUAGGUUCAUAAAUUUUCCUACACUGUUGAUUGCUUUUUCUACUCAUGGUUUAGACUUUUUUUUAAUAUGCUUGGUUGCUGCUUUUGAAAGUCACCAAUAAAUUAGAGAACAAAAUAAUUGAUGAUAUAGUCUCAUAAUGCAGAGAGUUAGGGCAGUGGGUCUCCGAAAUUCUGAAUCCAUAUGCUUGCUGAUGGAGAUGAUCAGAUGAUCCUUAUGCAUUCAAUUAAAGGUUAGAUUAACUGUGUUGAAAUCAGAGGGGUGGAUUGGAAAAGCUUAUGGAGAAUCGUAGCCUUCUGUUCACUCAAUUAAGCUCUAAUGUAUACACGGUGAUCUCUGAUGAAAUUCUGGUGGCGAGAAAUUAUUGUCAAUUCUUGGCAUUGAUGUUUUAAAGCUCCAAAUUCAAAGGGGGAACGAGCUGCAGCUAUGUAUGUAAACGCUAAAGCCUCAUCUACUUUGCUUUAUCAUCAUGGCAUUGUCGGCGAUUUAGGUCCGAUGUUUGAGCUUUUUGUGGAGCUUAGCAGUCGUCUUCGUGUUAAUCUUAUGGAGGAAGGUCAAGUAAUUUUCCUUCAGAUCCAAGAUCUGUAGGUCAGGGGAUUGUAAAGGUUGAAUAUGAGAGAAGCUCACUGGAAAUGAAGAACUUUGAGAUGAUCUCGAGAAGAUACAAAUUCAAUUUUUUAGGCCAUGCUCACCAUCAUCAUCAAUCCCGAAUCUCAAUAAAAUCAACGGUGGAAGGAGAAAUUGUUGAAAACGGUAUCAAAUUGAUGAUUGUGGGUGGCAGAUUGGCGGUAAUUGGUGGCGUUGGCUGUGAUUUGGUGCGCAAUUGAAGAAUUGGUGAUGUGGAGUUGUUCUGUUUGGUGCAAGGAGAUGGAGCAGCAUCAGGGCACCAGGGUUGCUGGUGGCUGCUGUUUGUGAGGGAGAAGGGAGUUGUGGUUGGGUGAGGUGGGGGAUUCUGGCUCGUUGGUGGGGUGUGUGGGUGUGGGAGUUUUUGGUGGUGAGGAUUGGUUACGGUGGUCGGAAAUUGGUGGAAUCGGGGCUGUAGAAGGGUAGGGGUGGAAUAGAGACUGGUUGGUGGGUUGUGUGGGAGGUUUGGCCUGUUGGGUGAGGGGGAGGUUUGGUUGGUGGGUUGUGUGGGAGGUUUGGCCUGUUGGGUGAGGGGGGAGGUUUGGUUGGUGGGUUGUGUGGGAGGUUUGGCCUGUUGGGUGAGGGGGAGGUUGGCAGCAAUAGUCAAGAAGGGGAGGGGCGGUUCUGGUGGUGGGAUGGGACUGGAGUGGUAUAGUGGUGGUGGGGAUUGAGAGAGGGGUGGACCAGUGGUGGUGUUUGGGGAAGGAGAGACAAAAGAACAAAAAUUGUUUAAGGACGGAGCAGUAGGAUCGUGGAGAAGAGUAGGGUCGAGGAUUUGGGGGUUAGCGAGUAGGUAGGCUCGGGGUGGGGGAGGUGGGCUGGUCACCAGCAACUAAUUGGCACUUCUUUUCAUCAAUGGCACUUCUCAGCAUUAUAUUGGUGGAUUUUCUGCGGAGGAGAUACUGACUUGGGCAAGGAAGAAGACGGGUGAGCCUGUUGUUAGAUUGAAUUCAGUUGCUGAAGCUGAGGCAUUUGCUAAGAAAUACAGUAUGUAUGUUUUUGGGUUGUUUCAGAAUUUUGAGGUAUUUUCUAUUCUGUAAAAUUUUCCAAUUAUGUAGUUUUAGUCUUUGGUUCGUAGAAUUUUGAUGUAUUAUCAUCGGCAUUGGCAAAUCUGUGUUAUCUGUAAUAUGUUUUUCUGAGUUUGUAUGUGUUGGUGUUGUUUAUCUUUUGCUUACUGCAGUUGAUUGACAAGGAAGUCGAUAACUUUUGUUUCAAUGGUGUAAUGUGGUGCGAGACUGCAACUUAGUAGUGUGAUCUGCUGAAUUAUACUCCAUAGUAGAUAUGAUUGGAUGUUUGAUAUGUUCUGAUAAAUAAGGAGUAUUAUAAAGUGAAUAGGAUUGAUAUAAUUAGGCAAGUGUGCACCUGCUUAUGCAUUUUCCUUGUGAUGCCAUAGAAUCUCAAUGACAUAUCAUCGGUGCUAUGAAAUUACUCUCUUAUAGCUCAAGUGCGCUGUGAUGUUUGAUUAUCUUGAUAUUUAUGUUGAUGUUUGAUUAUCUAGAUAUUUAUGUUAGCAUUACAGGGUACUCGUAACUAAUAAGACCAACAUCAAUGCUUGCAAUUUGGUAUCAUCUUUUGAAGAGCAUAAUGACUCGUGAAUCGGCAAUCUGGCUUGCACCUUUCUAGCUGCAGUUUUUGUUACAUUGUUGUCUUCACCUCUUUUAUACAAAUGUGUAGUUUUAAAUUUAUGCGUUAUUAAGGUUAAAUUUAUUCAGUAUAAAAAGCUUAUUCUCGCUUCUAUUUUUUUAGCUUUGUGAUUUCAAAUUUGCACGUGCCAUCUCAAAAAAGACUAUUUUUCUUCACUCUGUCUAAGGUCGGGCUUAUCUGCUGCUAUUUGCCUCUUAUACGCUGCAGACACCAUAGCAAAAAGUUUUACCAGAAUGUUGUCUCCUGUUGUAUUCAUUUGCGGCGCUAUGAAAAGUGGCAAAACAACUUUCUGGUAUGAUAGGUAUGAAUGUUUUGGGUUUUGUCAAUUUCUCAUUACUAUAUUCGUGGUUUAAUUCAUCGUCUUCUCUUUAAAUUGGUUGAUUUUUGUGUUUUCUUUUUGCUUGAAAUGCUGUUUUUUUUUUUCUUAAAAUAUGGUGGAUAAUGCAUGUACUGAGCACCCAUUAUUUGGUGGGGGCAAUAUCAAUGACCUUUCCUGAUAGAUUCUUGAUUUUACAUGCCAAAUUUCCCAAUUUCUUGCUUUUUAUUUAAGUUAUAUUUGUGGGAAAUUAACAAUAUUUUGAAUUUUUGUUUUAUGUGCAAAUUUGAAUUAUAUUUAUAGGAUUUGAGCAGUGUACGGGAAGUUCCUAAUCAUCACGUUGAAUUUUAAUUUUUUUUAAGAGAAUUAUUUGUAAUGAUGGGUUUUGUGGGUAUGGAAGGGUCAAUGUGGUUUUUGUUUUUGUGUGUAUAGGAAGCGUUUGCUAACCCUAAUCGAGAUGAAAGUCUCAUUAUAGAAUUGUUAGAGUUGAAGCAAGAGGUUGCUGAUGAAGGUAGUGUUGUUUGGUUCCUACAAGAACUUGCUAGGGAACAUGAUGCUGAAGGCGGUAUGAUUUAGUGACUUUCAAAGCAAUAAAUGUAUGAUGAAGACCUAAUGAUGCUAGAUAUGUCACUUGAACUUAUGAAGUAGGCAAGGAAGAUCAUUUGAAGUUUUGAACGUGGCAGCUUAGUUGUCCAGAAUUCAAAGUUGUAUAUUGCAAUGGAUUUAAAAUAUGACCUGUCUUUAACAUUGAAGCCACUUUUAGAAUGACAAAGUUGAUCGUCAACAUCUUUUGUUAGGGUGAAACAGGUUUGUGCUAAUGCGUUGAGUUUUUGAAAGAGUUGAUGAUGAUGGACUACAGUGAUAUCUUCUGCAGUUAGUCCUGGCCCUUCAUUUUGAGCACUCAGGAUGGACUUUGUUUAGCUGAUCUAUCAUGUGACCAAGUAAGCACUUGAUCCACUUGCUAUGGUGGCUCGACAAACAUCAGUUCUCUUCGGAAGCUCUUCAUAGGUGUGAUAUGCGAUUUCAAAUUCGUCCUAUUGAGUUUCUCAAAGAGGUAUGCUACAUUUUGUUUGUAAAUAUUUCUUAAUCAAUUGAACUCAUGCAACUACUCUAAUAUGUUUGAAAAUCUCAUAAUUAAUUACAAUAAUAUUGCCUACUUCUAUUUCUUAGGGACUUGCUGUAAUGUGUCUAUGCUUCCUGUUAAGUCUUUUUUAUGUAAAUGUAUUAACUACUAUAACAAAAGAAAGUGAAUACCAGGUGUAAUUUAAAGAACUAAUACUUAAUUACUACUACUAUUUUUUUUUAAUGUGAAUGCCUCCAUUUUAGUCGUCCAAACCUUGGAAGUGGUACUCAUGAAUCAAAUUUAUUUUGUCCUUUGUUCAUCUUGUGCUUUAAGUUGAAGUUAUGAGUCUUUUAGUUCAUAACAUUUUGACUAAAAAGAGAUUAUGGAUUGAUUUGCUUUAUUCUUUAACCUUUACAAUUAACAUGCUUUAAGAUGUCAGAUGUGUGUAGUUUAAUUUGAGGCAAUUUGGGUAUUUAAGAUUGUAUCAUAGCAAUUUGUGUGUAUAUGAAGGCUAUUAGCUUAAUUGGUGAAGCAUUAUGCUAUCGUGCAUAAGAUGUGGGUUCAACACCUUAUGCACGAUUUAUUUAGUAUGUAAACUGUUUAGAGGAUCAUCUUUAGUAUGUAAACUUGGAGUUGGUAAACAAUACUUUUGAAAAAGAUUUUAAAUAAGUUUGUAAAACCAUAUAAGUCAAGUAUUAAAAUAUAAAGGAUGAUGGAUAAAUGUGACACCAAAUUAUCUAUAUAUUGGGGAGUCAAGAGAGGGCAUGCCAGGAGAGAAAAGGGCAUACCGGAAAAGGAAAGGGGCCGAGAGAGAGGGAGGCAGGAGACAAAAUGAGAGAAAAAGAAGGUAUGGGAAUGAGUUGGGAGAAGAGGGAGAAAGAUGGGGGGAAGGGAGAAGGUGUGCAAAAGAGAGAAAAAAAAAGGGACAUGGGAAAGAGCGAGAGAGGAGCAUGGAUAGAGGGAUGCAUCGAGAAAGAAGAACCCAAGUUAGAGAAGGUCUGGGAUAGAGAGAGGGGGUUGAGAGAGAGAAAAUAAAUCAGGAGUAGUAUUACCAGAUUCAUGUUUCAAUUCGGUACGUGGUACGAGUUCAUGGUUUGUGGCUUGAUCGAUUUAUUUAUAU